rnacentral:rRNA from 1 species
GAUGAACGCUGGCGGCGUGCCUAAUACAUGCAAGUCGAGCGAACAGACGAGGAGCUUGCUCCUCUGACGUUAGCGGCGGACGGGUGAGUAACACGUGGAUAACCUACCUAUAAGACUGGGAUAACUUCGGGAAACCGGAGCUAAUACCGGAUCAUAUAUUGAACCGCAUGGUUCAAUAGUGAAAGACGGUUUUGCUGUCACUUAUAGAUGGAUCCGCGCCGCAUUAGCUAGUUGGUAAGGUAACGGCUUACCAAGGCAACGAUGCGUAGCCGACCUGAGAGGGUGAUCGGCCACACUGGAACUGAGACACGGUCCAGACUCCUACGGGAGGCAGCAGUAGGGAAUCUUCCGCAAUGGGCGAAAGCCUGACGGAGCAACGCCGCGUGAGUGAUGAAGGCCUUCGGAUCGUAAAACUCUGUUAUUAGGGAAGAACAAAUGUGUAAGUAACUAUGCACGUCUUGACGGUACCUAAUCAGAAAGCCACGGCUAACUACGUG